GAUGAACGCUGGCGGCGUGCCUAAUACAUGCAAGUCGAGCGAACAGAUGAGGAGCUUGCUCCUCUGACGUUAGCGGCGGACGGGUGAGUAACACGUGGAUAACCUACCUAUCAGACUGGGAUAACUUCGGGAAACCGGAGCUAAUACCGGAUAAUAUAUUGAACCGCAUGGUUCAAUAGUGAAAGUCGGUUUUGCUGUCACUUAUAGAUGGUUCCGCGCCGCAUUAGCUAGUUGGUAAGGUAACGGCUUACCAAGGCAACGAUGCGUAGCCGAACUGAGAGGGUGAUAGGCCACACUGGAACGGAGACACGGUCAAGACGCCUACGAGAGGCAGCAGUAGGGAAUCUGCCGCAAUGGGCGAAAGCUUGACGGAGCAACGCCGAGUGAGUGAUGAAGGUCUUCGGAUCGUAAAACUCUGUUAUUAGGGAAGAACAAAUGUGUAAGGAGCUAUGCACGUAUUGACGGUACCUAAUCAGAAAGCCACGGCUAACUACGUG
rnacentral:rRNA from 1 species